GUGGGUAGUUUGACUGGGGCGGUCUCCUCCUAAAGAGUAACGGAGGAGCACGAAGGUUGGCUAAUCCUGGUCGGACAUCAGGAGGUUAGUGCAAUGGCAUAAGCCAGCUUGACUGCGAGCGUGACGGCGCGAGCAGGUGCGAAAGCAGGUCAUAGUGAUCCGGUGGUUCUGAAUGGAAGGGCCAUCGCUCAACGGAUAAAAGGUACUCCGGGGAUAACAGGCUGAUACCGCCCAAGAGUUCAUAUCGACGGCGGUGUUUGGCACCUCGAUGUCGGCUCAUCAC
rnacentral:rRNA from 1 species